UCUUGACCUCAAAUCAGGUAGGACUACCCGCUGAACUUAAGCAUAUCAAUA
rnacentral:rRNA from 2 species